UGAGGAGCUAGGGUUGGAUCUCCCAACUCAGUCUCUGUUGUGCUUCCUAUUUCUGAGUCCUGUAGCCAGAACAAUUAGACUUUUAUUGUUCUUGUGUUUAUUUAUUUAUUUAUUUUUUGUUUAUACCUGUUGGUUGUUUUAGGCCUCAGGCCUCUGUGGUGCUUAGCCCAGCAUAUGUGGGAUCUCAGGAGUCUGACCGCAUUGCCUCAAGUCCUGAAGUUCUUAGCCAGUUCAGUCUGUCUUCUUCCCAGCUCCCAGAGUCCUUUAAUCAUUAUCUAUCGAAUUAUUUGUAGGGUAAAUAGUUGUAUUAAGAGCAGGAGGGAAAAUUGAGUCUAGGCCAUCAUGUUCCCACCUCCCUUUCUUUUAGUAGAUAAUCUGUCUUCAUAAGUCUAUCUAGGAGUAGUAAUCAGAGUUAAGAUUUCUUCUAUUCCUUGAGUCAUCUUUUUUUCCUCCAGAGUAAUUUUUUAAAACAAUAAUGACUAUAAUUUAUUGAGCAUUUAUUUUUUUAGUUAAAGCUUUAUUGAGAUAUAAUUAAUACUAUCCAAUUCACCAAUUUAAAGUGCAUAAUUCAGUGGACCUUAGUAUAUUCACCAUGAUUAAUUUUACACAUUUUCAUUAUCCCCAAAGGAAACUCUGUAGCCUUUAAUAGUCAUUCUCCACUUUCCUCAACUUUCCUCUCUCUCUCUCUCUCUCUCUCUCUGUCUCUCUCUCUCUCUACACCAACCUUAGGCAACUACUAAUCUACUUUCUGUCUGUAUGGAUUUUCCUAUUCUGGAGAUAUAUAAGUGGCUUCAUAUAAUAUGUGGUAUUUUGUCCCUGGCUUUUUUCACUUCACAUUAUGUUUCCAAAGUUCUUCAAUGUUGUAGCAUGUGUCUGUACUUCAUUCCUUUCUAUGGUUGAAUAAUAUUCCAUUAUAUGGGUGUACCGCAUUUUAUUUACCUAUUCAUCUGGUGAAUUCAUCUAGUUACUAAUGUUGUUGAGCAUCUAUUCAUGUGUUUUUUUGGGAAUUUGUAUAUAUAUCUUCUUUGGAGAAAUGGCUCUUAAGAUACCAUGGUCAUUCUUAACUUAGGUUAUUUGUCUUUUUUUUUAUUCUGUUUAAAUGUUCUUUAUUCUAGAUAUGAGUCCCUUAUAUGGUUUGCAAAUAUUUUCUCCCAUUCCAUAGACUAGCAGUCUAAUUUCUUGAUUGUGUCAUUUGAAGCACAGAAGUUUUUCAUUUCAUAUAUCUGUUUUUUGUUUUUUUGUUUUGUUUUGUUUUUUUUUUGUUUUUGCUUCUGGUAUCAUAUCUAAGAAACCAUCACCUAAUCCAGAGUCAUCAAGAUUUAUGCCUAUGUUCACACACACACACAAAAAAGCCUCCCAUCAGGCUCACUGCUGUCUGAGCAGAUCCUCUUUUCCCAUCUCUCUUGCUGCCCCUCCCCUGCUCUCAACUCUCUCUCUCAAAAAUAAACGUUAAAAAAAAAAGAUUUAUGUCUGUUUUCUUCUAAGAAUUUUAUUGGUUUAGCUCUUACAUUUAGGUCUCUGAUACGUUUUGAGUUAAUUUUUGUAUGCCAUGUGAGGUAGGCAUCCAGUUUCAUUCUUUGCAUGUGGAUAUUCAGUCAUCAUAGUGCCAUUUGUUCAAUUUCCAAACUGACUUUUAAAGUCUCUUUUAUUACUGUGGUGCAAUAUACAUUACCUAAUAUUUCUCAUUUUAACCAUUAAUAAUUGUACAGUUUAGUGGCAUUGAAUACAUUUCAGUGUUGUGUAACCAUCACUGCUAUCUGUAUUCAAAACUUUCUCAUCAUCCCUAACAAAACUCUGUGACCUUUAAAUGAUGAUUCCCCCUUCUCCCCUCCCUCUAGUCCCUGGUAAUCUCUAUCCUACUUUCUGUCUCUAUGAAUUUACCUAUUCUUGGCACAUCAUAUAAGAUAUGAGGAAUAGUACAAUAUUUGCCUGUGUCUGGUUUAUUUCACUAAGCAUAAUGUCCAAGGUUAUUUUUGUGUUUCAUUAAUGUGGUGUUUCUCUUUUUUCCUGCUAUUUAUUUUGUCACAAACCUGAUGAUCUUCAUUUAUCUAAUUACAUAUUGUAUGAUAGUCUGGUUAUUCUCAGUAUAUUAAGUAGUCUCCUCCCCCCACCACCUCAACAAGAGGUGAGGAAGAUGUGAUUGAGAGCUUUGUCUCUCAAGAAUCUGAUGUUCAUUAAGCAGUUGUGAUGCCCCAAAUAGAUGCAAACCAAGUAAAUUAAAUGUGAAAAUUAUUCAAAUUGUCUGAUAAAGAAACAUUUGAAAGAAAAUAAUUUACCCCAAACUGUUAGUCUGUCCUUUAUUCUUAUAAAUAGAGUGACCUUGUCUGCUUCACUUACCUUGCUUUCCUCUGCCACAUUUGAUUUGGAAAAGAUAAAUUAUACAAAAGACCAUAUUAUCCAGUCAUCCCAUAAAUUACUCCCUGGAAACAGGUCUUAUGGGUUUGGAAACUAUGCCAUUAAGCCUGCUUUCCUAUGGUCCUUUUCAUACUCCAUAUUACAACACUUGCCACACUAUUAUAGUUGUUGAUUUACAUGCCUUCCUGUCUGGCAGUGGUCCUCAGAAUAGAGGAUACAUCAUAUUCUUCUUGGUCUUCUAUCACUGUAGUUUGGUUUUGACAGGGCAAGAGAAAGGAAGUGAGAGAAAUGAAAAUAAUCACUAUUCUUUGUGCUCCUACUGUUUAUAAGCACUGUUCAAAUAAUUUUAUAUGUAUUAUGUGUUAUUUCAAUAGUUUUGAAAUAAAUAUUAUCAUACCAGUUUUACAGAUAGAUAAUGUGAGUCUUAGAGAGGGUUAGUGUUUUUCCAAGGUCACACUUUUGUCAAGUAGCAGAACCAAAAUGAAGGUGUUAACUGAAGAAGGAAAGGAGGAAGAGGUGUCAGGCAUUUGGAAGCAAUGAUUUUCGUAAUGGUGUAAAGGAAUUAAUAGAGGAAAUAGCUUGUUUCCUCAGCAGCCUACCUCAGUAUCACAUCACGGAAAAAUAGUUGCGUCUGCCCCUCUAGGCCCUCUAGGCCUGUGGAAAUGAUCUGAAAAUUAAGUACAAAAUGUGGGCUCGAAUACAUUAUAUUUAACAUUUAUAAUUAUUAAGGAGGUCUAAGUGUUACUUUUUUCUUCCCUGCUAGCAUUAGGAUGAGACCAAGUGCACAAGUCUAACCAUUAGUAAUUUUCCUGGGGAUUUCCCUCUUUCUUAUCUAAAGGAAAGUACUUUCAGGAGGCUAGCAAGCUUUCAUUGUUCACACUGCAGUGCCUCUACCCUAUUAAUGUGAGAUAAUGACCAUUUGUUUCCAGCCUUUGCUGCUCCUUCAUAUUUGGAAGAGGUCUGAUUACUGCAGAAACUAAGCAGCUGACUAUGUACAUUUCACUGAUUCAAUAUAUUCUGCAUUAUAGUUGUCCACUGGGAAUAAGGUAACUAGAGGACAUCCAUUUAUAGCAACUGGGGGGUAGGUUUCUGGAGUUGUAUAGCAAAUGGACUUUACUUUGAAAUGUGUGUUAAUACUAAUCAGAAUACAAAAUAUUUCUGGUUAAAUAGGAAAAAUCACUUAAUUCCUUUUGGCAGGAUUUGCAGGAUUCUAUCUGAAACUAACAUAUGUAACAGGUAAUAGCAUAAGACUAGCCAGGAGUUGGAGGGGGCAGAGAUUCUUUUUUUUUUUUUAAGCCAAUUUGAGAAAAAUUGAUCUUUUUUCUUGAAAUAGAUGUGGAAUUAAACAGAAUUUUUAUAUAAGCAAGCCAUUCUAAUAUCAAGAGUCACAGAAAACAGCACUAUGAUAUGAAAAUGUUAUUUUAAUAUUCAAGAAUAUAAAUAGAUUUCUUUUUUUAAAAAAAAGUUUAUUUAUUUUGAGAGAAAGUACACACAAGCUGGGGAGGGACAGAGAGAGAAAGAGAGGGGGGCAGAGAGAGAAUCCCAAGCAGGCUCUGCACUGUCAGCACAGAGCCCAACGUGGGGCUCAAACUCACAAACUGUGAGAUCAUAACCUAAGCUGAAAUCAAGAGUUGGACGCUUAACUGAUGGAGUCACCCAGCCACCCCUAAAUAGGAGAUUUCUUAUUGCUGGACAUUCUGCCUAGCAAAACAAUGAAGAGCACAGCUUCUGGAAACACAAUGUGUGGGUUUGAAUCCAAGCUUGGGCAAGCUGAUUAACCUCUGUGUACCUUAGUUUCAUUACAUGUAAUAUCAGAAUAGUACCUCAUAGAGUUAUGGUAAGGAUUAGAUGAGUUAAUACAGAUAAAGAGCUUAGAACAGUUCCUGGUUUACAGUUAAGAACUCAACAAAUGUUAGCUAUUUUAUUUGCAUUUUGGUAGUACCAAUGUAGACAUGGUAGUUAAUUGAGGUACCCAGCAGUUAAUUAAAAGAAAAGGUACAAGGUUAUGUUACUAUUAACAUGGUUCAUGGUGGAAAGUGAAACUAUGAGAGCAGACAAUUCUUGGAGAGCCAGACGUGAGGCUUAGUUUUUUGCCAGGGUAUAGGGAGUACAGAUGUUGGAAUAAAGGGAUGUUCAAAGAAAGGGCAGAACAAAGGAAUCCAGCAAGAAGGUAAAACAGUGUCAAUGGAUGAGAAAAUGUGGAGGAUUUUGACUCUGAGACAACGAUUCAAGAAGGCAGUCUACCUAGUUGGCUGGGAAGUAUGGCACAGCACUGGCAGAAAUUCAGGUGAGAGUCUUCAGACCUUGCAUAGUUCACCAGCAGUGUGAUCUGGGGAAGGUCUACUAACAUAUCUAUAUAGUUAUGUUCUCUAGGUAUAGUAUAGGUAUAGUUCUCUAGGUUAUGUUCUAUAUAGUUCUAUAUAGAACUAUAUGUUCUAUAUAGUUAUGUUCUCUAGGUGUAACUAUAGGUAUAGUUCUCUAAUCUAUAGAAUUAUUUGUCUGGGUUCGAUUUGUAAAUCUACUUCUAGCACUUCUGUUGCUGGCUUCCAUGAUCCUAGGUUGUUGGUAACCAUUGAGUGAUUUUAGUGGAUAGUGUGCCCAGAAGCCAGAUUGUAGGGAGUUAAAGACUGACUAAAUGGUAGAAGACCAUCUGUUCAGGAACUGAGUUUGCUCCAAUCCACAAAAGGUUAUAAGCCUCUCUUAAUUUAGUAGACUCAUUGUACAGCACUCCUACAAUAUAGACUUAUACCUGCUUCUCUUUUUUAUUCUUGUUUCAUGUCUGUUCACAGUUUUUAGAGGUUUAUUUAUUAAUCUUAGGUGAUUUAAAGAAAUUUUGCAUGAGGUUCAGUUUUAUUUGGUUCAGUUCAUUCUAAUGCUCACAAAUAGUUUAACCAGAUUUAGACAUAAUUUCUACUUAAAGGAUUAAAAAAAAAAAAAAGAAACAAAACUCUACUUCAUUAGCUUGGCAAAGAAAGAAAGUAUUUGUGUGGAACCAAAAAGCCAAAUUUAUCUACAAGCAUGGGAAUAAAUUUGAGUACUGAACAGAAGUUCUUUGAUUAUCAUAAUAAAACAGAAUAAAAUAGUCAAGACAUCAAAAAUGCUUAUGAAAGCCUAGCUUGCAUAUGCCACAGCUACACAAAGGUUCUCUUCAGGUAAUACUGUCUGUAGUCUUUAAGGGAAAUGAGUUUCCUAUCAACUGGUAUUUAUACCAGAGGCAAUGAAAAUCAAAUGCCUUGAUCAAAAAUAUCCAGAACUGAAAAAUGUUAAAUUGGAAAAAAAAAAAAGCUCAAACACUUUUAAUAGCAUCAUUCUAAUUAACCCACUGAACUUAAUAAAAUUAAAAGUUCCAAUAAUAGACAUGAGAUAUAAUGAAAUAUUUCAUCAACAAGAUGAAGACUUCUUUAAGUUAUGGCUGAAAUGUAAAAGAGGAAAAACAGAUCCAAGUAAAAAAGCAAGGCUUUUGGUCAAAAAUAAAGAUGUACAGGAAUAUUAUGAUCUAGUAUUGUUUUAGUGAGCCUACUGCCGGUCUCAAUUUAUGCCCCUGCUCUAGUCCAACCUGCUGAGCCUAGCAAUAUUCCUAGUAUUUUAUUCUGAAAAAAAAAAAUCUUAUUUUUUCAAAAAUAUAAAUAAAUUUAUGAACUUACCUGUGACUUUCCUACUCCCCUUUUUUCUUAUUUUGAGUCUAUUAAAAUUUUAAACAUCUAUUGAUUUUUGAAUAAAAACUUAACCCUUUAGUCCUAUUCUAACCACCUCUUAUAUAAUGACCCAUAUUAUGAGAAGCCACCCUCUUCUAAGCCAGAGGACUGGGCUUCAGGAGCCCCUACUUUCCCAAGGAGUGAUGUUCACUCAUGAGGUCCUGGGAGAGUUCCAGGUAUUUUUGCCAUCAUACUGGUGAAUAAAAUAGGAGUAUUUUUGGUCAGGUACUUGAAGCAGUAUUUUACAUUUAUGGCAUAAUUAUCAUGAGAAAGCAGAUCAUGUGUUGAAGCACCCUUAAGAGAACUCAGUUUCACAUUUAUCAUUUUCAGUGACACCCAAGCUUUGAAUCUGAGAAGUAGACUGGCACAUUUAAUAUUCCAAUUAAAAUGGAUUGAUCUACUUUGACAGUCUUUGGAGAAAAGGCCAAUAUGAAAGGAAUGAUUUUUAGUCAUAAUAAGAGCUUAUUUUCCAAGGUGCAGAAGUUCUAAAUUUAGAGUGGAAGUCAGUACUUACUUACUAAAUCAUGUACAUAUUUAUACAGAUCUCAGUUACAAACAUGUACACUUGUUGGUCUCUCAUUUUUCAAAUUCAUGAAGAAAAGAGGGGACUCAUAUUUUGUUUUCUGAAAAUGCAGGUGCAUAAAAUUUUGCACAAAUUAUUUUCCUGAAGAUUAAAGAAUACCACAUAUAUACAUGAUAAAUUUUUAAGAAGGUGACAUAGUAUAGUGACUUUGCAUUAUAUAGGCCCAGCUAUAAAACCAGUCUCUUCUACUGAUUAACUGUGUGCCCUUGGACAAUUUAAUUAAUCUCUCUAAGCCUCACUUUCCUCAUCUAUUAAGUAGUGAUAACCAUUUCUAACUUACGGUGGUCAUAUAUGAUAAAAUAAUAAUGUAUAUAGAGCUCUUAACAAAAUGCCUGACACAUUAUAAGAACUAAAUGAAUAUUAUGCUAUUUUUAUUUUACUCCAAAUAAUUUAUUUUGUAAACAAUAUUACUUUAUCUUUAAUGAAAAUAAAAUCCUGAAAUGAA